UACGUAGGGGGGCUAGCGUUGUCCGGAUUUAUUGGGCGUAAAGAGCGUGUAGGCGGCCAGAUAGGUCUGCUGUGAAAACUCGAGGCUCAACCUCGAGAUGUCGGCGGAAACCAUUUGGCUAGAGUCCGGAAGAGGAAAGUGGAAUUCCUGGUGUAGCGGUGAAAUGCGCAGAUAUCAGGAAGAACACCCGUGGCGAAGGCGGCUUUCUGGGACGGUACUGACGCUGAGGCUCGAAAGCGUGGGGGAGCGAACAGG
rnacentral:rRNA from 1 species